AGAUACAUGGAAGGUUCCAAGUGCUGCGGUUGGAACUAAGAAUUUCAAUUGAAAGAUUGCAGCCUCUAAUUGUCGCUACAGCGGUAAUACACAACAUGUGUAUUAAUAUGAAAGACGAUCUACCACCCAAUGAGGAGGAGAUUGAAGAAUGGGAUAAUCAUCUUCCGGCAGAGCGGGGCAACGAAGACAGAACACGUAGGAACGAAAUUAUUGAUUAUUUUGCAAAUUUACAAUAAAAUAAUUUGUUUUAAGAAA